GCGUCAUCACAAAAUCGCUAAUUUCCCAUCCAUGCGGUGUGCUCCGCCGUCAAUGUCAAGUUCAUCAGUUCGCUGGAUCUCUCCACCUGACACCAGUCACACUGAUUCCUGUAAUCUGUAAUUCUGUCGCUAAACAAGGAAUUCAGACAUUCUGGAAAGGAGCAAUCGGCUCAAGUGUGCUCUGGGGCCUCACGAAUGUUACGGAAAUUGUGCUCGGCGAUCUUAUGGGGUUGCCACGUACUUUUGUGGUUAAUGGAAGUGCUGAAAAGUAUUGGAAACAUAUUGUUCUGAAGGGGUAACGGAAUUAAGACGAAAAAAAAAAUUAAAAAUUGAUAAUUUUCAGAGUAACAUUUGUAACAAUGACUCCAUUCUACAUCUCAUCAUUCAUUGAAACUGUUCGAGUAGGCUACAAACUACAAACUACAAAAGCUCUCAGCCUCAACAAUCCAAUUUUCAGAGCGAAUCCGGAAUUGGUGGUGAAGACAAUAAAAUUCUGGAUGUUCUUGUGAAGGGUGUGGAUCGAAUGCGAUAUUUUUUGACUUCGGGACGAGAUCCGUCCAGGAGAUUCUCGAUUAUUCAUUUGGCUAUUCCAACUGCGGGAUUUCAGUGAGUUUUUGCUGGAAAAUCACGAAAAAUGACCAAAUUUAGUGAAAAAAUACGCGAAAAUCAGGUCAGAAUAUGAAAAAUUGGUUGAGGCUCAGACUACAAACUACAAUUUUUGUUUAGCCUCAACCAAGGAAAAAUAUGUGAAAAUUACUGAUUUUUCCUGGUUUUUAGUGUUUUUUAGUGAAAACUCAUCGAUUUCAGUGGGAAAAUUUUAAAAAAUGUCUUCAUGUUUCCCGGAUUCUCCAACGAAAAAUUGGAAAUUUAAGGAAAUUUAACUUGGUGAGGCUGAGAACGAAGUGUAGUUUGUAGUCUCUGGGCCUCAACUAAAUUUCGAACAGUUUUUUAAAGAUAAAAAGCCGGAAAACACAUUUUUGUUCAAAAAAACUAGUUUUUCAAAGAAAAAUUCGUUCGAAAAAGUUGAAAAACGGCUGAAAACUCGCAAAAAUCGAAGAUAAUUUGUUGAGGCUCCAAAAUUUGUAGUUUGUAGUCUCUGAGCCUUAACCAAUUCAUGAAUUGUGCAUCGAAAAAUCGAAUAAAUCCCAGUUUUCAACAACAAAAAUUGAAAAAAUUUUUUUUUUUUAGAGUUGGUCACUACAUGCUCCAAACGGCCCUUUACCAUCAAUUCUUCCGAAUGGCGAAACGAUAUGUAAACCGAAAAUCGCCGGCGGAAAAGACGACUUAUCACGAUUUCCUGCCCCAAAUGUUCGCUCAAACAUCAUCAAUGGUGUUAACUGAUUUGAUACUUUAUCCAUUUGAAACAAUUGUUCAUCGAAUGUAUAUUCAAGGAACACGAACACUUAUUGAUAAUAUGGAUACAGGAUUAUCAGCAGUUUCGAUGACUGUCAAAUAUUCCGGUUAUUUUGAUUGUGUUCGACAAGUUCUUGAAACGGAAGGUUUUUGGGCACUUUAUGCG
rnacentral:sRNA from 1 species